CUCUACCAAAAUUUUACCUGAAUUUUUAAGAUUUGUUUCAUAUUUUUCUAGAACCAAUAACUUUUAUUCAGAAAUUCUUAAGCAUGAAUCAAAAUUCCAUAACUUUUGUUUCAUUUAUCCAAAUGAUCCGCAUUUUUUAAAUUUCAAAUUUAAAAAUAAUUUCUUAAAAUAAAAAAAAAUUCUGAAAUGAAACACACCCCCAAGAUUUUCACAACCAGGAGAAAAAAAAUAGAGUUGAAGAAAUGAACAGAGACGGGCUCAUGGCCCAAAACAAAUGGCAGGAUACAACGUUGGGCUAAGGGCCCGGUUAUGCAAAAACCCUAGACCCAUCUUGUCUUAAUGGUAUAUAUGAAGGUUGAGGAUCAAUAUUCAUCCGUUAAAAAGCCCUAAUUGCAAGGUGAGAGAGAGUGGCGGUACCUUUGAUCUCUAAGAAGAUAGUGAAGAAGCGCGUGAAGAAGUUCAAGCGCCCCCAAAGUGACCGCAAAAUCUCCGUCAAGAUUGGAUUUUCGAAGCACCAUUCUCUCAUGAAUGACCAUGAAGAUGUCAUGUGCUGUCCAUAUAUCAUCCAAGUUUACCAUACAUGGCCUAUUAUCAAAUAUCAACUCUAACUCACAAUCAAUGUUUUGUCUCUCGACCAAAUUUGAUUCAAAAAGUUUCAUGCUCGGAUGCUCCAAAAUGAACUUUCGCUCAUUCCAAUGUUCCUAAUGACAAAACAACAAUACCCAUGAAUUGAAAAAAAAUGUGGAUCACGUUGGAUUCAACGCUUUUUCAAACACACUAAGGUUUGUCAUCUGUAUGUCUCAAAAUGUUGGGAGCCCCAUCUUAGAAAGAUUAUGCAAAAGGUUGCCAGAUAAGUCGUCAGAUUUUAUACUCUUUAUGCAACUAUGUAUGACAGACAAUAGGGACAAAAAGUUGCUACUAGACAUUUGGCUUGAGUUACAAAAGUUGAUGCUAGAUAGGAUUUCUAUCAUGGUUUGGAGCUUUCUGUCACAUAAAAAUUAAUGUCAAUAAUUAAAUUACUGUUUAUAAGAUGGAUUUUUUUGUUGAUAACAAAGUUUUAUUAUAAGAAUUGAUUUUAACUUGUUAAAGGAUUUGUCAUUGUCAAAAUUCUUGAUCUGGUUUAUAAGUUCAUGGCACUGUCGAUGAGAGGUGAUGCGAAGUUAAUAAGAUUAUCUCAUCCCAUGUCUAAGAAUUGAUUUUAGUAAAAAAGCCUUCAAACCCUUUAGUCUAAUCAAUAUGUAGGCUAAUAGGUUCAAAACAUAGUAGUCAAUAGCGGGUGGAGCGGCCGCUAUCGCGCCGCUAUAGCGGCCUGAUCCUGCAACCUCGCUAUUGUCGCGUGGCAGAUUUGUGUCGCAGUCGGUGGCGGAGCGGGGCGGCAAAAAUCGCGGAAAUAGCGGCGCGAUUUUGAUAUAUCCUUCAUUAAGGGUAAGUCCGUCUUUUCAAAUGGGCUUUUUUUGCCUUAAUGCUCCCUUCUCCCUCUCGCGGUUUCAGUUCUCGCACUCCUCUGCUCUCUCUCUCUCAGAUUUUGUUUCUUUCUUUUCUAUGAUCGUGCGCACAGCCCUCUAUUUUGAACUCCAGCUCCGACGAACUCCAGCUCCGACGCGCCUCCAGUUCCGACGCGCCUCCAGCUCCGACGCGCCUCUGUCCGCUUAGUUUGUCUUCUGUUCUCCUUCGACUCUUCUCUCUUUUAUGCAACAUUGCAACAUAAUUUUAUUUUUAAUUUUUUAUUAAAUUAUU